UUCCAGCUCCACACCAAUGGAGAGACCACUUUGGGUUCCAUGAAAUUGAAUGUAGACAGUCUAAAACGGGCCAGUCACGCUUCACGCUGUCAGACCUGCCAACCUGCACGCAUUUUGUGUACCAACCACGCAAUUCUUAGUCAAAAUACGCAGGUACAAAAUGCCAGCUGAAACUACGCAAAAAAAUCAAUCGAUACAAACCUAUACCGUACAUUUAUUUAAACUACAUCCCUCAGAUUGGAGAAGAUGGUACGACCUUGUGCCUGUGGUUCUGUGACCCUCCCCGACCCGAAAUAGUACUCUCACUCAACAUCCACUGAUACUAGUACACUGCUACUUUAUUAUCCACCGAGGCGUAAUGCAUUGCUGAGGUACAAUGGGGAGUGGGGGAGUAAUAAUCAAGCACAUAAAUGUGACCGUAAUGUUAGCAUAUAAAACUUUAAAACAUGUGUUCGGUAACUUAACGAGAUGAUGCAUUUCAAGGGGUAUAUCCUUCAGAUAGAUUUGUAUAAAAAGUUAGCCGUAGUAGCUAGCAUACGAUGUGAUUCACCUGGUAACGAGAUGGCUACGGUGUGAAUAACUGAUGGAGUAGGCUAAUUUAGCUGCAGUAACGUUAACUCAAACGCCACGGAGACUGUUCUAACUUUGAAUCGCUCUGUUGGGGAAAAGUGACCAUUGCAAAGGUGUUUGACUACAGACUGCUAACGUAGCAAAUAAUUCCUACUAUUUCAGCCAGUCAACCGACCAGCCUUGCAGGUAUAAAAUAAUCAUGACGUCAGAUGACGAUUUUCAGUCUCGUUACCAAAAACAAGACCCAAUACAGAGCAACCCUGAGCACUGACAUGAUAAGCGCUUUGGGGACUGUCUGUCACAUGGAAGGCUUCAGUGAUGCUCUGCUCAAAAAGGCCAAGUCGCCAAGCUAUGAGGCAAAGCAGUCAAGAGCAAGUGCCACUGGAAGUAGAUAGAUGGAUACUUUAAUAGGAGCUUAUAUAUAUAUAUAAUAUAUUAUUUAGAAAUGCAAAAUGAUCCAAAAUGUAAAUACCUCUUUUCAUUUAUGCAAUUCUUAAAAUAUGAUUGUAAUGUUUUCUUCGCCGCUGAUUUAUUAUGUUGAAUAACUGGAUGAUAUGGCGGUGAGUGGGGAAUUGACCGUAUGCAAAGCCCCUGCCAAACUGAAACUCCCCUGGUACUCAAACACUUUCUUCAAGGUUGGCAGGUCUGCACUUUGUUCUCAAGAGCAUAUGGGGCAGUUAAACACUGAUGCUGAGGUUUCAUACUGGUGGAUUUUGAAUCAUCUUAAUUGACUGACUGUGUCUGUGGGUGUGUCUGUGUCUGUGUGUGUGUCUGUGGGUGUGUGUCUGGAUGUGUGUCUGGAUGUGUGUCUGGAUGUGUGUCUGUGGGUGUGUGUCUGGGUGUAUGUGUGUGUAUGUUGCAGUUUCCACGGCAGGGUAUGCAGCAGACCCAGCAACAGCAACAGACAGCAGCCCUGGUCAGACAGCUCCAGCAGCAGCUGUCAAAUACACAACCUGGACAGAACACAGCUCCCUAUUACUGAGAGAGAAAAAAAAA
ensembl:lncRNA